UGGCUCAGUGGUUAAAGCACUUGGCUGCUAACCAAAAGGCUGGUGGUUUAAACCCAUC
rnacentral:tRNA from 1 species